UCAAACCAAUUUCUUUCAUCAUUCACAUAGCAAAGCAGUUUGGUUUGUCAAACCAAAUCAGAACAUUUUGUUUCAGCAUGGUUCAACAUUGAACAGCACCUGUGGCUCCUCAUGGGAGUUGUAGUUUGGGGGCCUUCUGCCCCCUUCUGUGUGCUGAGAUCCUGGGUUGGACUACAUCUCCCAUGAUGCCCAGCAGUGGCUCAGCCAAUAGGGAAACCAUGGGGCAUUAUAGGAUAUGUAGUUUUGGGGGAACCCAACCCAGAGUGGAGAAUGGAGGUAUGACGCCCAAAUUAUAACUCCCAUGAGGCACCUUGGUAACUCAGUUGGCUACAGAUUAAUGUCAAACUGACCCGAAACAAAAUCAUUGCCCAAUGGAAAAUAGAAAGUUCUCAGUGAAAUCAAAAUUAAACUCAGAAAAAAUUAAUCUUUGUGACAUUUUCUGUCACAGAAAUAUUUUUAUGAAAAAUCUUCAGCCAGCUCUACGAAAUACACUGGACUAGUCUUAGCACCAUGUCCCUGUGUGGGCUGACCAACCCAGAGUUCAUGGAGCGGACGGGUGCUGCCUCUGAGUUGGGGAUUCAUUUCUUGGUGUAGAAUUCCCAGCCUGGACCACCUGCCCAGCUCCCCCUGUGUAGCAGCCCAGAGAACCCAGUGUAGGUUGUAGAGAUCCCAGACAUGGAGAUGUGUAACGUGUAUUUGCUGUUACUUUUUUAACAAAGGAUUUCCUGGUGCACCAUAAAGGACCCUCUGACCACUGGAUCGGUCUCUGGAGGGAACCGGACCAACCCUGGAUGUGGACCAGUGGGAAAGAAUUCAACAACUGGUUUAAAAUAAAGGGACGAGGCCUGUGUGCUUUUGCGAACAAUGGCGAAAUUGCCAGUUCAGGCUGCUCCAGGGACGCACACUGGAUCUGCAGCAAACUAGUGGAGAGACCAGAAGGCCGAGCAAAGUGACUGUAACCUGGAUGAGUCGGGCCUUGUCCUUUCCAUGGGGCUGUCCCAAGUUGCCUCAGCGAGUGGGGAACUGGGUGGGGCUGGUGAAGGAGGACAGCCCCAGCCGCAAGGAAGAGAGACGCUCGCUGAAGGACAUCUGAUAGCUCCUCCCCUUGGAGCCUCUGGCACCCAUUGGCCCAUCUGGGGACUGGGGUGAGGGUGCGGAUUAGCCAGCAGCCCCCAGCUCCCUGUCUGGCACAGAGAAGGGAUCUUUUGACUUGGCUGCUCCCCUUCUGAUUUCCAAGCCUGCUGUGUCCCUCCUGUCAGAGGCCCAGGGCAGGAGCCUGGCCCGGGCUGUGGCUAGAAGCCAAUGUACCGGCUGGGGCCAUGGGGAGGUGCUGUGGCCCCUGCAGCCAUGGGGCGAAGGGGCCGGUGUGAACCCUGCAGCCUGUGGGAAGGACGCAUGAACUCUGCUGUACAGCGAGAAGGGCUGUUGUGCAGGCCCUGCUGAGCGCUGGGGGAGCGAGAAGAGACGCCGCAGACAGGAGGGGAUUGCUGGGACGUGCUAGGACAGACGUGUGUGUGUGUGUGUGUGUAUACAUGUGUGUACAGAAUUAUUUGUAUAAUAAUACACCAGCUCCC